AUUGAACGCUGGCGGCAUGCCUUACACAUGCAAGUCGAACGGUAACAGGUCUUCGGAUGCUGACGAGUGGCGGACGGGUGAGUAAUACAUCGGAACGUGCCCAGACGUGGGGGAUAACGAGGCGAAAGCUUUGCUAAUACCGCAUACGAUCUAAGGAUGAAAGCAGGGGACCGCAAGGCCUUGCGCGUUUGGAGCGGCCGAUGGCAGAUUAGGUAGUUGGUGGGAUAAAAGCUUACCAAGCCGACGAUCUGUAGCUGGUCUGAGAGGACGACCAGCCACACUGGGACUGAGACACGGACCAGACUCCUACGGGAGGCAGCAGUGGGGAAUUUUGGACAAUGGGCGAAAGCCUGAUCCAGCAAUGCCGCGUGCAGGAUGAAGGCCUUCGGGUUGUAAACUGCUUUUGUACGGAACGAAAAGGCUCUGGCUAAUACCUGGGGCACAUGACGGUACCGUAAGAAUAAGCACCGGCUAACUACGUG
rnacentral:rRNA from 1 species